rnacentral:rRNA from 1 species
CAGUAGCCGCGGUAAUACGGAGGGAGCUAGCGUUGUUCGGAAUCACUGGGCGUAAAGCGCACGUAGGCGGCUAUUCAAGUCAGGGGUGAAAGCCCGGGGCUCAACCCCGGAACUGCCUUUGAAACUAGAUAGCUUGAAUCUUGGAGAGGCGAGUGGAAUUCCGAGUGUAGAGGUGAAAUUCGUAGAUAUUCGGAAGAACACCAGUGGCGAAGGCGACUCGCUGGACAAGUAUUGACGCUGAGGUGCGAAAGCGUGGGGAGCAAACAGGAUUAGAUACCCCAGUAGUCCCUGUCUCUUAUAC